rnacentral:rRNA from 1 species
UGGGGAAUAUUGGACAAUGGGGGCAACCCUGAUCCAGCAAUGCCAUGUGUGUGAAGAAGGCCUUCGGGUUGUAAAGCACUUUAGUGAGGGGGGAAGUUAAUCGGAUUAAUACCCUGGUUGAUUGACAGUACCUCAAGAAUAAGCACCGGCAAACUCUGUGCCAGCAGCCGCGGUAAUACAGAGGGUGCAAGCGUUAAUCGGAAUGACUGGGCGUAAAGGGCGAGUAGGCGGUUUGAUAAGUUAGAUGUGAAAGACCUGGGCUUAACCUGGGAAGCGCAUUUAAUACUGUCAAACUGGAGUAUUGUAGAGGUAACGGGAAUUUCCGGUGUAGCGGUGAAAUGCGUAGAUAUCGGAAAGAACACCAAUGGCGAAGGCAAGUUACUGGACAAAUACUGACGCUGAGGCGCGAAGGCGUGGGGAGCAAACAGG